rnacentral:rRNA from 2 species
AAUGCCGAGACGCGACGACGACUGCCCUUUUAGGGCGGGAAGUCAUUGAUGCCCUGCUUCCAGGAAAAUCUUCUAAGCUUCAGGCUAUUCGAGACCGUACCCCAAACCGACACAGGUGGUCAGGUAGAGAAUACCAAGGCGCUUGAGAGAACUCGGGUAAAGGAACUAGGCAAAAUGGUGCCGUAACUUCGGGAGAAGGCACGCCGGUGGUAUGUGACGCCCUUCGCGGGUUGAGCAGAAGCCGGUCGAAGAUACCAGGCCCCUGCGACUGUUUAUUAAAAACACAGCACUGUGCAAACACGAAAGUGGACGUAUACGGUGUGACGCCUGCCCGGUGCCGGAAGGUUAAUUGAUGGGGUUAGCGCUUGCGCGAAGCUCUUGAUCGAAGCCCCGGUAAACGGCGGCCGUAACUAUAACGGUCCUAAGGUAGCGAAAUUCCUUGUCGGGUAAGUUCCGACCUGCACGAAUGGCGUAACGAUGGGGGCGCUGUCUCUACCCGAGACUCAGUGAAAUUGAAAUCGCCGUGAAGAUGCGGUGUAUCCGCGGCUAGACGGAAAGACCCCGUGAACCUUUACUAUAGCUUCACAGUGAACUUUGAGCAUGUUUGUGUAGGAUAGCUGGGAGGCUUUGAAACCAGGACGCCAGUUCUGGUGGAGCCAACCUUGAAAUACCAGCCUGACCUGUUUGAGGUUCUAACUUCGACCCCUUAUCGGGGUUAAGGACACUGUGUGGUGGGUAGUUUGACUGGGGCGGUCUCCUCCCAAAGCGUAACGGAGGAGCACAAAGGUGGGCUAAGCAUGGUCGGACAUCAUGCGGUUAGUGUAAUGGCACAAGCCCGCUUAACUGCGAGACAGACACGUCGAGCAGGUACGAAAGUAGGUCAUAGUGAUCCGGUGGUUCUGUAUGGAAGGGCCAUCGCUCAACGGAUAAAAGGUACUCCGGGGAUAACAGGCUGAUACCGCCCAAGAGUUCACAUCGACGGCGGUGUUUGGCACCUCGAUGUCGGCUCAUCACAUCCUGGGGCUGAAGCCGGUCCCAAGGGUAUGGCUGUUCGCCAUUUAAAGUGGUACGCGAGCUGGGUUUAGAACGUCGUGAGACAGUUCGGUCCCUAUCUGCCGUGGACGUUGGAGAUUUGAGGAAAGCUGCUCCUAGUACGAGAGGACCGGAGUGGACGAACCGCUGGUGUUCGGGUUGUGUCGCCAGACGCAUUGCCCGGUAGCUAUGUUCGGAUAGGAUAACCGCUGAAAGCAUCUAAGCGGGAAGCCCCUUCCAAGAUGAGAUCUCCCUGGACCCUUGAGGUCCCUGAAGAGCCGUUCAAGACCAGGACGUUGAUAGGUCGGGUGUGUAAGCGCUGCGAGGCGUUGAGCUAACCGAUACUAAUUGCUCGUGAGGCUUGACUAU